rnacentral:rRNA from 1 species
AUCGAACGCUGGCGGCAGGCCUAACACAUGCAAGUCGAGCGGAGCGGCGGACGGGUGAGUAAUGCCUAGGAAUCUGCCUGGUAGUGGGGGAUAACGUCCGGAAACGGGCGCUAAUACCGCAUACUAUCAGAUGAGCCUAGGUCGGUUUAGCUAGUUGGUGGGGUAAAGGCCUACCCAGGCGGCGAUCCGUAACUGGUCUGAGAGGAUGGUCAGUCCCACUGGAACUGAGACACGGUCCAUACUCCUACGGGAGGCAGCAAUGGGGAAUAUUGGGCAAUGGGCGAAAGCCUGGUCCAGCCGUGCCGCGUGUGUGAAGAAGGUCUUCGGUUUGUGAAGCACUUUAAGUUGGUGGGCGUUACCAACAGAAUAAGCACCGGCUAACUUCGUGCCAGCAGCCGCGGUAAUUC